CGUUAUAGCGCCAAGUCCUGUGGUCGAUACUAUUCGCAGCAUGGUUUUUGGUGGUAACAGGAGUAAAUUUAAUUGUCGUUUUAGUUGUUAUGACAACGAAAAAAUGCGAAUUGUUACCAAUUAUUUCGCAGAUACACGGCGCUCAUUUUUGUAUACCUGUCCGAGCUCACCGAAAAACCGUCGCGUAACUUCACGUGACAUUUUUUUAAUUAUUGUUCAAAAUGUACCAAUCAGCUGUGGCAAUCAAACAAAAUACAGACAAAGCUUUAUCGUUUGAAAUCCUAGUAAUUCCUAAACAGUCCAAAAGUGUGCCUUGUGGUGUAAGCUUGUUGCUGAUGCAUGUCACCAUUGGAUUUAUAACACCAACCAGACAAACGUAUCUGACUAGCCAAUUGAAAAACAAUUUAUUAUACAUUUGGCAAAUGUGUUGGAGCCUAAAGGAAAAAUAUUAAAAUUUAUGUUGUUUAUUACAAUCUUUGUAAUAAAUAUUAUACGCUAUGGUUGUUAUAUUAUCUUAGCUUAAUCGAAUACCUACUUAUAUGACAGGAAGUUGCGACAUCAGCCUGGACAAGCGGUGUUUUAAGGAGUUAUAUAUGGAAUAAAUACGAAUAAAGUCAAGCCUACAUCAUCACCGACCUGUUAAAUAAUCAAUCGAGGCACUUCGAACUAAUUUAAGAGAAUCAACAUCGCACUGAAGGUGAUUUUUUUCUGUGAUAUUAGAUAUAUCUAACAUAUUCUUAAAAUAUUUCUAUAUAUUGAGAUGAAAAAAUAAUGUCAAAUAGUGGUAAGCUUUUAUUGUUAAUAUUAUUCUAAAACUUUUUUAAAUUAAAAUUGUUUUUAUUUAAAACCGAUAUUUUAAUAUAAUGAUGCAUUUACCAUUUUGAAAUCAUCAACGUUUAAUUCUGUAUUGAAAUAAAUGAAAUGCAUAUGUAUACUA